UUUUUUCUAUAGAAGUGUCAUGGUUCUGCUCUGCUCCUUUACCCCUCCCUUCCUUCCUCCACUCUAAUCUCACUCACCUGUGUUGAUUAAGCUCUCAUUGUGCUACUGUUGGUGUUCACUCUAUUUAAGGUCCUCACUUUCACAUCCACCCUGCCAGUUCGUUGAAUCAGUCAUGUUCCAGCUAGUUAUAAUCUUUGUAUUUUGAGUCUUUUCAUGGUUUUGACCCUUUUCUGGCCUGGUAACGAGUUUAAGCCUGUCCCCUGUCUGGAGUUUUUCUGCCCUGGUUUUUCCCCCUCCGUUUCCAUCCUGAAGAGGCGUGACGUUUCAAGAUCCCUCAUCUCAUCAUGGAGUAAAGCUGCCCCAACACUGGUCUUCACCCUCCGGUGGAUUCUCCUCCUGUACACCGCAGCAGUGGAGGAAUCUUCCAUCAUUCCUGACACCAUCCGCCCUGCACUCGGACGCUUCAAAGGCUCUUCUCUCACGCCUGCUUCUAGUUCUAAGCUCACCUGUGCAUCUGGCGGUCCACUGAUUAAUUCUACCUCCCUAAUAAACACUUUAAUUGUGA